ACAGUUGCCAGCGUACCUCUCCGGAGUUGACGGGUACGACUGUGGGGACCGCCGCUGCUAAAGCGGAGGAAGGGAAUGGGCAACGGUAGGUCAGUAUGCCCCGAAUAUCCCGGGCUACACGCGAGCUACAAUGGUUGGUACAAUGGGUAUCUACCCCGAAAGGGGACGGGAAUCUCCUAAAACCAAUCUUAGUUCGGAUUGAGGGCUGCAACUCGCCCUCAUGAAGCUGGAAUCCGUAGUAAUCGCGUUUCAACAGAACGCGGUGAAUACGUCCCUGCUCCUU
rnacentral:rRNA from 1 species